GACGAACGCUGGCGGCGUGCCUAAUACAUGCCAGUCGAACGAACCGCGACUAGGUGCUUGCACUUGGUCAAGGUGAGUGGCGAACGGGUGAGUAACACGUGGGUAACCUACCUCAUAGUGGGGGAUAACAGUCGGAAACGACUGCUAAUACCGCAUAGGACAUAGGAUCACAUGAUUCUGUGAGGAAAGGUGGCGCAAGCUAUCGCUAAGAGAUGGACCCGCGGUGCAUUAGCUAGUUGGUAGGGUAAAGGCCUACCAAGGCGAUGAUGCAUAGCCGACCUGAGAGGGUGAUCGGCCACAUUGGGACUGAGACACGGCCCAAACUCCUACGGGAGGCAGCAGUAGGGAAUCUUCCGCAAUGGACGCAAGUCUGACGGAGCAACGCCGCGUGAGUGAAGAAGGUCUUCGGAUCGUAAAGCUCUGUUGUUAGAGAAGAACAGCGCAUAGAGUAACUGUUAUGCGUGUGACGGUAUCUAACCAGAAAGCCACGGCUAACUACGUG
rnacentral:rRNA from 1 species